rnacentral:lncRNA from 1 species
CCCAAAAUUACCGUCGAACAUCCGACGGUAUAAGACUAAAAAUAACGAUGGACCAUUCGUCGGUAUAGCGGAGCAACGGACCAUUCAUCGGUAUAUCACGUUAUUAUGGCUCACCAUUCGACGCUAUAUAUAUUUAGAUGUACCACCGAAUCAUUGGUCGGCAUAACUCAACAUAUACAUCCAACUAUCGGUCGGGAUACAUUCUUUAGGCCCAUUUCCCUUCGCCGCACUUCCGGCCCAUUAAUCUCGCGCACAAGACUCGGCCCAUACCGAACCC